CCGAUACAUAAUAGUAUUUACUAUACAUACCCACAUUGUGAUUUUAAUUUAAUUUUAGUAAUUUUAUUUAAAGGGCGAUUUAUCUUUAUUCGUACCUCGUAACAGACGACGUUUAUACUGAUUGAACAAAUGGUGAACAUAUCUAUUCAAUUGGCCAAUCGGAGUCAUGUUAAACUAUUCCAUUCUUCAAUCCCCACCAUCCAUUCUAUCUCUCCGCAUUGCAGGUUCAAGUUCCCUACAAGAAAGCAACCAAAUAACCAGCCUAAAUAUAGGAAAAAAGAAGAAACGGGAAAAUAGGUUGACCACUUCAGCAGGAGGGCAUCGUGCUUCCCCCGCAUAACAACCCCUCCGCCAAACGAGAUGUCUUCAAAAUCCCACAUCCCAUACUCCGUGCGGGCAAGUCGCCACGGGAACCCGCUAGCCAAACGACUGUUCCAAAUAGCGGAAGAAAAGAAAUCAAAUGUCGUGCUCUCCGCUGAUGUGACAACUACGAAAGAAUUGCUGGAUCUCGCUGAUCGUCUGGGCCCCUACAUCACCGUCCUAAAAACCCACAUCGACAUCCUCACCGACCUCACCCCCUCCACCCUCUCCAGCCUCAAAACCCUCGCCACCAAACACCGCUUCCUCCUCUUCGAGGACCGCAAAUUCGUCGACAUCGGCAGCACCGUCCAGAAACAAUACCACGGCGGCUCCCUGCGCAUCUCGGAAUGGGCCCACAUCGUCAACUGCGCCAUGCUCGCCGGGCCCGGCAUCGUCGACGCGCUCGCGCAGACCGCCUCGUCCCCCGCGUUCCAGACCGCGUAUGGCGCCGAGGGCCGCGCGCUGCUGAUCCUGGCCG
rnacentral:sRNA from 1 species